GUUUUUACGAUAUAUCAUCAAUAAGUUAAUAGAGUGCAGUAUGUGUGUUUUACCCUUCAAUUUGACCUAGAAGCAUUCUAUGUUAAAUCAUCCAAUCCCUGGCUGGAAAUGACCAGAGCUCUUCAAUGUUGCCUCCCACACUAUAAACCUACCAUGCAGUGUUUCUUUGUGGUUACCAGGUUGCAUGACAUUAACUAGUUCUGUAUACUUGUAAAGACCAACUGCUGUUGUUUAAGAUAGCUGUUUGAUCCUGUCUCAUCUAGUACUCUCUGGUCAGUUUUUUUGUUUUUGUUUUUUUUUU